UGCGCAGUGCUGUCGGCAAGGAGCACGCCGCUGCAAAAGGGAUUAGACUUGAAAACGCCUUCUGAAGGGGUUUGGGAGAGAAAGUCCCACUGAUGCUACCUGAAGUUCGGGGGAAACGUCUUCAGCCAGUUUUCAGUGUGAUGCAGAUACGACAGCUUUUCUCCCUCUGUUGGAAGGGUCGGGGAAAGUGAAAUGACCCAGCGGGCCAGGUCAGCAUCGACCUAGCUAAAAACUUGGCCGGUGGACGUGAACUGAAGUGCCAGGAGGGCUUACGUGCAAGCCUCCUCAGCCCCAGGCUUGAGACCAGCCUCUAUUACUCAGAAGAAUUUGUGCAACUCCGUGCUUCUCUAUCUUCAAGCAUCAGCAUGUUCGACUCUUGGUUUCAAUCCAGAACCUGCCCUGUUUUUAUAGAACAAAACUCCAGCUUCGUUCUGAAAAUGAAAUGGCAGACGGUCCCUGGAAAACAACCCAGAUCCCAGUUUAUUUUAAGAGACAGAGCAGACGAGGGGCGGAG